rnacentral:rRNA from 1 species
UACGUAGGGGGCAAGCGUUGUCCGGAUUUACUGGGCGUAAAGAGCGUGUAGGCGGCCAAGCAGGUCCGUUGUUAAAACUGGAGGCUUAACCUCCAGACGUCGACGGAAACCGCGUGGCUAGAGUCCGGAAGAGGAGAGUGGAAUUCCUGGUGUAGCGGUGAAAUGCGCAGAUAUCAGGAAGAACACCAAUGGCGAAGGCAGCUCUCUGGGACGGUACUGACGCUGAGACGCGAAAGCGUGGGGAGCGAACAGG